rnacentral:rRNA from 1 species
UUCGUCCUAUGGGGCGCAGCAGUCGGGAAUAUCGCGCAAUGGAGGAAACUCUGACGCAGUGACGCCGCGUAUAGGAAGAAGGUUUUCGGAUUGUAAACUAUUGUCAUUAGGGAAGAAAGAAGACAGUACCUAAGGAGGAAGCUCCGGCUAACUACGUGCCAGCAGCCGCGGUAAUACGUAGGGAGCAAGCGUUAUCCGGAAUUAUUGGGUGUAAAGGGUGCGUAGACGGGAAAUUAAGUUAGUUGUGAAAUCCCUCGGCUCAACUGAGGAACUGCAACUAAAACUGAUAUUCUUGAGUGCAGGAG